GGAGGGCAAUUCUGGUGCCAGCAGCCGCGAUAAUUCCAGUAGCGUAUACUAAAGCUGCUGCGGUUAAAAAGCUCGUAGUUGGAUCUCAGUUCCAGACGAGUAGUGCAUCUACCCGAUGCGACGGCUCGGACUGAACAUCAUGCCGGUCGUUUCUUGGUGCACUUCAUUGUGUGCCUCGAGAUGGCCGGUGCUUUUACUUUGAAAAAAUUAGAGUGCUCAACGCAGGCGAGUCGCCUGAAUAAACUUGCAUGGAAUAAUAGAACAAGACCUCGUUUCUGUUCUGUUGGUUUUUGGAAUACGAGGUAAUGAUUAAGAGGGACAGACGGGGGCAUUUGUAUGG
rnacentral:rRNA from 1 species